rnacentral:rRNA from 1 species
AUUGAACGCUGGCGGCAUGCUUUACACAUGCAAGUCGAACGGUAACAGGCCGCCAGGUGCUGACGAGUGGCGAACGGGUGAGUAAUGCGUCGGAACGUGCCCAGUCGUGGGGGAUAACUACUCGAAAGAGUAGCUAAUACCGCAUACGAUCCAUGGAUGAAAGCGGGGGACCGUAAGGCCUCGCGCGAUUGGAGCGGCCGAUGUCAGAUUAGGUAGUUGGUGGGGUAAAGGCUCACCAAGCCAACGAUCUGUAGCUGGUCUGAGAGGACGACCAGCCACACUGGGACUGAGACACGGCCCAGACUCCUACGGGAGGCAGCAGUGGGGAAUUUUGGACAAUGGGCGCAAGCCUGAUCCAGCAAUGCCGCGUGCAGGAAGAAGGCCUUCGGGUUGUAAACUGCUUUUGUACGGAACGAAACGGCUCUGGUUAAUACCCGGGGCUAAUGACGGUACCGGAAGAAUAAGCACCGGCUAACUACGUG